GGUUAAGUUAGAAAGGGCGCACGG
rnacentral:rRNA from 1 species